rnacentral:lncRNA from 1 species
GUACACGUAGUCAGGCGCAUUGCCAGUGGACAAAAAAACAUAAACGUAUGGUAUUAAUAAUUAGAGGCGCAUAGAAUUAAAUUAUGCCAAAAUGCAUAUCAUUUCGGCCAACGGUACUCGAAGAUAUGCUUAAAAGCUAAACUAAUUGCUUUUACCACCCAGCCUAUAAAAGGUUAUAAACCAUACUUUAACGAAAGAAUGAUAAGAAAAAAAGGGAUUCAGAUAGAACAUAUCAUCAAACUUUUGGUUCAACUAAGCAAAAAGAUGUUUUGUUUCAAGCAACUACUAGAUUUGCACUAAAGACGUGAUGGCUAUUAUGAUCAAGACUGAUUCUUUCCACUAAACGAUAAUCCAAUGGCUCU